rnacentral:lncRNA from 1 species
GUGGAUUCCACUUUGGACACCAUUUAUGUCUACUUUAAGAAUAAAAUGGCCAGUUAUUUUACCAGCAAAAUGAGUUUAUUUGGAAAAAACAAAGAAUUGAAAUUUGGGGCCCAUAAACUAUGUCAAAGGGAAGGGCAAGUGCAACAAUCAAAGGAGAGGAAGUUACUUUGUAGGGAAAAAUUGGGACAGGUUGUUUUGAAUGAAAGUCCAUUGGAGAAAAGCAAGAGUUCAGGGUGGUGAUGGUUCCUCCUUGGCUGAGUUGCUGGGGUAGUUGAUUUCUAUUUAGGAUGCAGUGUACAUUUCUUCCUGUAAUUGAUGAUUAUUUUCUGUUGAUGACUUCUUUCCAUUGGAGUCUGGAACUGACAAUCUUCCUGUGAUAGACCUCAAGUCGUACUGCAUGGGAACUCCCCCUUCAGGUCUCCUGACUCCAUUUUAUCUUCUUGCAUUGAUAAAGUUUGGAGAUCUAUUGGCUUCUGUCCCCUGAAGAUCCAUCUCUCUCACCAGAUUUGGGAAGUUCUCAGCCAUUAUUUCUUUGAAUAGGCUUUCUGCCCCUUUCUCCUUCUCUUCGCCCUCUGGUAUACCUAUAAUCCUUACCUUGCAUCUCCUAAUUGUGUCUGAUAAUUCUCGGAGAGUUUCUUCAUUUCUUUUUAGUCUUACUUCUCUCUCCUCCUCUGCCUGCAGCAUUUCUAUAUUCCCAUCUUCCAAAUUGCUAAUUCUUUCCUCCAUAUUAUCGGCCCUACUGUUCAGGGCAUCUAGAUUUUUCUUAAUCUCCUCUAUUGUGUUCUUCAUUUCCAGUAUUUCUGUUUGGUUCUUCUUUAUCGUAUCAAACUCUUUUGUGACAUAGCUCCUGAACUCGUUGAGUUGUCGGUCAGAGUUCUCUCUUAACUCAUUGAGUAUUUUAAUGAUGGCUGUUUUGAAGUCAUCGUCAUUUAGAUCGGAAGAGGCAGGAGCCAAGUACACUGGGCAUCCUGUGACUGUCUCAAAGGGUGAGAGUUUGUGAGUUCCAAAGAAGGUGGAUCUGAGAUUUAGAAGGACAAAUGAUAAUGCUUUUGGUCAAGGUAUUUGAAGGGUCUCUACUAAUUUUGCCAAUGGAGUCUAAUAAUACCUUUAGUG